rnacentral:rRNA from 1 species
CACCGCGGUUAUACGAGAGACCCAAGUUGACAGAACCCGGCGUAAAGAGUGGUUAGUAGUAGUUAAACUAAAGCCGAACACCUUCAAGGCUGUUAUACGCACCCGAAGGCAGGAAGCCCUGCUACGAAAGUGGCUUUAAACAUUAUGACUCCACGAAAGCUAGGAAA